UUGAACGCUGGCGGCAUGCCUUACACAUGCAAGUCGAACGGUAGAGGGGCAACCCUUGAGAGUGGCGAACGGGUGAGUAAUAUAUCGGAACGUGCCCAGUCGUGGGGGAUAACGCAGCGAAAGCUGCGCUAAUACCGCAUACGAUCUAUGGAUGAAAGCGGGGGAUCGCAAAGACCUCGCGCGAUUGGAGCGGCCGAUAUCAGAUUAGGUAGUUGGUGGGUAAAAGCCCA
rnacentral:rRNA from 1 species